rnacentral:lncRNA from 1 species
GUGGGGAGUUAACGUUUCCUUGGGUCUGCAGACUUUCCAGAGAUAUGGUGUCUACUUAGGAGAAACAAAAUCAUAAAUGCAGCACUGUGUCCAGUUCUGCACCAGACGGCCAGAUGGUGCGGAAGGCAGACCUGCGGGGUGGAGGCCCCGGCGUGGGAGAGGGCGAGGUCGGCGGCUGGCCCCCGCCCCGGGCAGAUGGUCCGCGGAGUCGGGGCGAGGCGGGCCCCUGGCUCACAGAAGGCCGGAGGUGCGCGGUGGCCGUCGGCGGAUCCGGAGGCGGGUGCGCGGUCACAGGGUGCUCAGGUGCGGCAGCGCGUCCAGGGACCCGGCUCGGUCGCGCGCGGCGGCCGCAGACUCCACGCCGCGCAGCCACUCGGUGCACUUGCGCACCAGGCCCUCGUCGGCGGCCGCGGCCUCCUCCUCGUACUCCACGUCGUCGUACUUGUGCCGGUCGUUGAGCAGCGACACCUUGAGCAGCGGGCGCAGGUCGGCGGGCCUCGGGCCGGGGUCGGGGCCCCGCAGGGCGCCGGGCGGGGGCGGGCGGCGGCCGAGGCCCGCGGCCCGGGCGGGGAGGCAGGGGCCGAGCGGGCGCCCGGCGUCGGCGGAGGCUGCGGGGGGCGCCCGGCGGGGCCGCGCCAGCAGCUGCCUCUCCAGGUGGCGCCGCUGGAUGACCAGGACGGCCUCGGGCGUGAGGCUCAGGGAGAAGCGCCGGGCGGCGUCGGGCCCGGCCGCCGAGGCCGUGCUCCCCGCGGGGCCGUCGCCGGAGCCGGCCGGCCGGGGCGCGCACGGGGCGGGGGCGCGCGGGCGGCCGGGCGCGGCCGGGGGCAGGGCGCGCGGGGAGGCCGGGCCGGGGGCGCGGCGGGCCGGCGGCCUCUUCAGGGUGGCGGAGGGCCAGGAGCUGGACAGCAGCCCCUGGGGCCGCUCGGGGGGCCGCCUCUUCUUCUCCGCGGCCGCGGCGGGCGGCGAGGGCCCGGGCGGGGCGCAGGGGGGCGCGGGCGCCUUGCGGGGCGCGCCCGGCUUCCGGGGCGGCGGCGGCCGCGCGGCCGGGACCCCGGGGCGGGGGUGGGCGGCGGCGGCGGCACGGGCGGGAAAGGCAUGGUGCUGCCGGGCCGGCGGGUGCUCAGUGCCCUGGAAGGAGAGGGGCGGCUUUAGUCCCCGGGGCGCGGAGCCGGGCGCCCUCUCCAUGGGUGGCCGGGGUCGGCCCCUCGCGCUCCCUCCGUACCCACCUCGGUCCAGCCGCGGCAUCGCCGGCCCCGCCAGGCCCCGGCGCCCACACCCCGGGGCUGUACGCCGCCGAGGCACCCUCCUUCCUUGGGCAGCCGGGGGCUCUGCCCCCGCUCGGGGGCUCCUCGCCCUGCGGGGUGCGGAUCGCCACCGGCCGCCUGGUCCGCGCCGAGAGAGACGCGCGGGCGGGAGGAGGAGCUGA